AGUGAACGCUGGCGGUAGGCCUAACACAUGCAAGUCGAACGGCAGCACAGUAAGAGCUUGCUCUUACGGGUGGCGAGUGGCGGACGGGUGAGGAAUACAUCGGAAUCUACUUUUUCGUGGGGGAUAACGUAGGGAAACUUACGCUAAUACCGCAUACGACCUACGGGUGAAAGCAGGGGAUCUUCUGACCUUGCGCGAUUGAAUGAGCCGAUGUCGGAUUAGCUAGUUGGGGGGGUAAAGGCCCACCAAGGCGACGAUCCGUAGCUGGUCUGAGAGGAUGGUCAGCCACACUGGAACUUGGACACGGUCCAGACGCCUACGGGAGGCAGCAGUGGGGAAUAUUGGGCAAUGGGCGGAAGCCUGAUCCAGCCAUACCGAGUGGGUGAAGAAGGCCUUCGGGUUGUAAAGCCCUUUUGUUGGGAAAGAAAAGCAGCAGGUUAAGACCCCGCGGUUCUGACGGUACCCAAAGAAUAAGCACCGGCUAACUUCGUG
rnacentral:rRNA from 1 species